AUGCAGUCGAGCGAGAAGGGACUUCGGUCCUGAGUAAAGCGGCGGACGGGUGAGCAAUACGUAGGUAACCUGCCUUUCAGUGGGGGACAACGGUCCGAAAGGACCGCUAAUACCGCAUCCGUCGCUCGGGACUCCGGUCCUGAGCGGGAAAGCCGGGGCAACCUGGCGCUGGAAGAGGGGCCUACGUCGCAUCAGCUAGUUGGUAGGGUAAUGGCCUACCAAGGCGAAGACGCGUAGCUGGUCUGAGAGGAUGAUCAGCCACACUGGGACUGAGACACGGCCCAGACUCCUACGGGAGGCAGCAGUGGGGAAUAUUGGACAAUGGGCGCAAGCCUGAUCCAGCCACGCCGCGUGAGUGAUGAAGGCCUUCGGGUCGUAAAGCUCUGUGGGGAGGGACGAACCGCCGAUGGUUAAUACCCAUCGGCAUGGCGGUACCUCCUUAGCAAGCACCGGCUAACUUCGUGCCAGCAGCCGCGGUAAUACGAGGGGUGCAAACGUUGCUCGGAAUCAUUGGGCGUAAAGCGCACGUAGGCGGCUUCGCAAGUCGGAUGUGAAAUCCCUCGGCUCAACCGAGGACGUGCACCCGAAACUGCGGAGCUUGAGUACUGAAGAGGAUCGCGGAAUUCCCGGUGUA
rnacentral:rRNA from 1 species